rnacentral:rRNA from 1 species
GACGAACGCUGGCGGCGUGCCUAAUACAUGCAAGUUGAGCGCUGAAGGUUGGUACUUGUACCAACUGGAUGAGCAGCGAACGGGUGAGUAACGCGUGGGGAAUCUGCCUUUGAGCGGGGGACAACAUUUGGAAACGAAUGCUAAGACCGCAUAAAAACUUUAAACACAAGUUUCAAGUUUGAAAGAUGCAAUUGCAUCACUCAAAGAUGAUCCCGCGUUGUAUUAGCUAGUUGGUGAGGUAAAGGCUCACCAAGGCGAUGAUACAUAGCCGACCUGAGAUGGUGAUCGGCCCCAUUGGGCCUGAGACACGGCCCAAACUCCUACGGGAGGCAGCAGUAGGGAAUCUUCGGCAAUGGACGAAAGUCUGACCGAGCAACGCCGCGUGAGUGAAGAAGGUUUUCGGAUCGUAAAACUCUGUUGGUAGAGAAGAACGUUGGUGAGAGUGGAAAGCUCAUCAAGUGACGGUAACUACCCAGAAAGGGACGGCUAACUACGUG